rnacentral:rRNA from 1 species
UGGGGAAUUUUGCACAAUGGGGGAAACCCUGAUGCAGCGACGCCGCGUGAUUUAGAAGGCCUUCGGGUUGUAAAAAUCUUUUGUAUGGGAAGAAAAUGACAGUACCAUACGAAUAAGGACCGGCUAAUUACGUGCCAGCAGCCGCGGUAAUACGUAAGGUCCGAGCGUUGUCCGGAAUCAUUGGGCGUAAAGGGUACGUAGGCGGAUAAGCAAGUUAGAAGUGAAAUCCUAUAGCUCAACUAUAGUAAGCUUUUAAAACUGCUCAUCUUGAGGUAUGGAAGGGAAAGUGGAAUUCCUAGUGUAGCGGUGAAAUGCGCAGAUAUUAGGAGGAAUACCGGUGGCGAAGGCGACUUACUGGCCAUAUACUGACGCUGAGGUACGAAAGCGUGGGUAGCAAACAGG